rnacentral:rRNA from 1 species
GAAACUUUACAAUGCCGGCCACGGCAAUGAGGGAACCUCGAGUGCCAGGUUACAAAUCUGGCUGUCGUGAUGCCUAAAAAGCAUUGCAUAGCAAGGGCCGGGCAAGACCGGUGCCAGCCGCCGCGGUAACACCGGCGGCUCGAGUGGUAACCGUUAUUAUUGGGUCUAAAGGGUCUGUAGCCGGCCGGGUAAGUCUCUUGGGAAAUCUGGCAGCUUAACUGUCAGGCUUUCAGGAGAUACUGCCUGGAUCGAGGCCGGGAGAGGUGAGAGGUACUUCAGGGGUAGGGGUGAAAUCUUGUAAUCCUUGAAGGACCACCAGUGGCGAAGGCGUCUCACCAGAACGGACCUGACGGCAAGGGACGAAAGCUAGGGGCACGAACCGGAUUAGAUACCCGGGUAGUCCUAGCCGUAAACGAUACUCGCUAGGUGUCGGCCACGGUGCGACCGUGGUCGGUGCCGUAGGGAAACCGUGAAGCGAGCCACCUGGGAAGUACGGCCGCAAGGCUGAAACUUAAAGGAAUUGGCGGGGGAGCAC